CUAGAUGAGCUUACUAGCUCCAUAAACACAUAGGUUUGGUCCUGGCCUUUUUAUUAAUUAUUAGUAAAACUACACAUGCAAGUAUCCACGCCCCAGUGAGAAUGCCCUCUAAAUCGCUUCUUCAACGAUUAAAAGGAGCGGGUAUCAAGCACACUAAAACAGUAGCUCACAACACCUUGCUCAACCACACCCCCACGGGAAACAGCAGUGACAAAAAUUAAGCAAUAAAUGAAAGUUUGACUAAGUUAUACUAAAUAGGGUUGGUAAAUUUCGUGCCAGCCACCGCGGUCAUACGAUUAACCCAAAUUAAUAGAACCUCGGCGUAAAGCGUGUCAAAGACAUCAACCUUAAAUAAAGUUAAAAUAUAAUUAAGCUGUAAAAAGCUACAACAAAAACAAAAUAAACUACGAAAGUGACUUUAGUAUGUUCACCCACACGACAGCUAAGACCCAAACUGGGAUUAGAUACCCCACUAUGCUUAGCCCUAAACUUAAAUAAUUCUUCUUAACAAAAUUAUUCGCCAGAGUACUACUAGCAACAGCCUAAAACUCAAAGGACUUGGCGGUGCUUUAUAUCCCCCUAGAGGAGCCUGUUCCAUAACCGAUAAACCCCGAUAAACCUUACCAUCCCUUGCUAAUUCAGCCUAUAUACC
rnacentral:rRNA from 1 species